rnacentral:rRNA from 1 species
AGUGAACGCUGGCGGUAGGCCUAACACAUGCAAGUCGAACGGCAGCACAGUAAGAGCUUGCUCUUACGGGUGGCGAGUGGCGGACGGGUGAGGAAUACAUCGGAAUCUACUUUUUCGUGGGGGAUAACGUAGGGAAACUUACGCUAAUACCGCAUACGACCUACGGGUGAAAGCAGGGGAUCUUCGGGCCUUGCGCGAUUGAAUGAGCCGAUGUCGGAUUAGCUAGUUGGCGGGGUAAAGGCCCACCAAGGCGACGAUCCGUAGCUGGUCUGAGAGGAUGAUCAGCCACACUGGAACUGAGACACGGUCCAGACUCCUACGGGAGGCAGCAGUGGGGAAUAUUGGACAAUGGGCGCAAGCCUGAUCCAGCCAUACCGCGUGGGUGAAGAAGGCCUUCGGGUUGUAAAGCCCUUUUGUUGGGAAAGAAAAGCAGCAGGUUAAUACCCCGCUGUUCCGACGGUACCCAAAGAAUAAGCACCGGCUAACUUCGUG